rnacentral:rRNA from 1 species
UAGCUGGUGAACGGGUGAGUAACACGUGAUUGCCUUUAGGAAGAGGAUAACUAUUAGAAAUAAGUUGCUAAAACUCUAUAUGCCUUACGGUGAAAAAAGAAAUUUGCCUACAGAGAAGCUCGCGUCUGAUUAGCUAGUUGGUGGGGUAAAGGCCUACCAAGGCGACGAUCAGUAGCUGGUCUGAGAGGAUGAUCAGCCACACGUGGAACUGAGACACGGUCCAGACUCCUACGGGAGGCAGCAGUGAGGAAUUUUCUGCAAUGGGCGAAAGCCUGACAGAGCAAUACCGCGUGAGGGAUGACGGCCUAUGGGUUGUAAACCUCUUUUCUCAAGGAGGAAAAUUUGACGUUACUUGAGGAAUAAGCAUCGGCUAACCCUGUGCCAG